AAACAUCUGGAUUUGGAGGAUGAAGAAGCAUCAGGAGGUUGAUCAAAACAAUAAAGGACUGAGUAAAGAACAUCAUUGAUUGAUGAAGUAAGGACAGCUGUAACGGCAAUUACAGAGGAAAUGAUCGGUGGCGACCAAGUGGAAGAAACAUCUUUCGAUGACGUUCCGGAGUGAAAAUAGGUUUAGGUGUAAUGUUUAAUCUGGGCCACAGCAAAUUUUUAAAGCCCAUAUAAAAACCGCAGUUUCAAUGUAUUUAACUCAGCGAAGCUGACAUGGCGGAUUAAAAUGUUCCUAUUGGUCGAAUUUAAUUGUCGACGUGGAGGGCCUCUCCUUGCACCAUAUUCCCCUUUUAGUAUAGGUUAGAUUAUACUGUUGAAUACAUAAUUAAACAAAAAAACAUACAGUAGAUGGAGAACUACUGAUUCC
rnacentral:lncRNA from 1 species